rnacentral:lncRNA from 1 species
AUGUGUCCGUUCAAAUUUCAAAAAUGUUUAAACAAAUUAUACAAAUCUUUAAAUUAUGAACACUCUAUUAAUAAUCAAGUGGAGAAUCAAUAUAAUGCAUUUGAAACAUCAGUUUAUUUACAUUUGGUUAAAAAUGACAUUUUAGGACUACAUAUAAAUAUUGAUACUGGUUCUGGUUCUGGUUCUGGUUCUGGUUCUGUUACUAAUGAUAACCAUAGCCAUCAGGGAGAUAAACAAACAACGUUCUUAAAUAAUCACUUUUGUUAUAACAAAUACAGUUUAUACCAAUCAAUACGAAGGAAGUUUAUUAAGUUACUUCUAAAUGAAGAGUGUAGUAAUAAUAUAUGUUUAGGUAUGUCAAAUUGUUAUACUAGUGGUGCUAUUAGUAAUGAUAUUACUAAUGGAAUAGCCGCACCUUAUAUACUAAUAAAACUACGCAUAUUGCACAGCAACAAAAAAAACACUCCCGUAUGUAUACUAAUAAAAUGUAGUACCGUUUUAAAAAACACUUUACCUAUACCUGUACAAUAUCAAAAUGCAUAUAAAUUAAAAAACAUAAGCAGAUUUUGUUUUAAGCAACUUUUAUCACCAUUAAUAAAUUUUAAUGUAAAUGGAAAUAUAGUUGAUGGUAAUAAAAUAAAUAUAGUUUAUGCAAAAAAAAACAAAACUGGAGAAAAAAAGUAUAUAAAAAUGGCAAAUAAUAAGACCUACACAACAAACGACGAGGUUUAUACAACUAAUUAUGAACCCUCUAUUUUAAACAGUACAGAUAUUCAAAAACGUAAUGAUAAAAAAGAAAACGUACAAAACGUGCAAAACGUGCAAAACGUGCAAAACGUGCAGAACGCGCAAAACUUGCAGAACGCGCAAAACUUGCCAAUAUACUAUGCCAAUAUUAUAAAAAAAAAUGACAUUUUCAUAUUAACAUGUCAUACAUUAAUUUAUUUGUACAGCUAUAAUGUAAAAAGCCUAAAAAUAAAUAAAAAAAAUAUAUUUUUUAUUAACAAAUUUGGGAAUAAAAAAGGUGAAAACGGAAGUAAACAAAUGAGAAUAGGAGUAGCAAAAGUGGGAGCAGAAAUGGGUGCAGAACAAAACAUGUACAGUAACAUAUACACAGUUAAAAAACUUGUUUGCUUUGUUAGUUUUUUUAAUGAACAAUUAAAAGAAGUAAUUUUGGAAGAUAAAAAUAUUGGAACUAUACCAAUUAAUAGUUACAAGGACGUACAAUUAAGUAGCGGCAUCAUUAAUGAUAAAAUGAAUAAUGAUAAUAACAAAUGUUGUUAUUUUUAUAGUCCCUACUCUUGUAGUUAUAUACAAAAUAGAAAUUGUAAUAAUUUGUAUUUUACCAACUGUAGUACGAGUAAAUAUGUCAUGUCAGUCCUUGUGAUCUGUCCUAAAUAUAUAAUAAAAAAUGAAACAAACUAUAAUUUAGUUAUGUUUUUGUUGAAUAGGACACAUAAUAGUGUACAUAAUAGGAACUAUUUUAAAUACUAUAUAGCUAGAAAUUCAAGUAGUGUUAUUAACAUUUUUGAAGACGACAGUUUUUGUGGUAACAGUAGUGAUGGUAGUAGUAGUAGUAGUAGUAGCAGUAGGAGUAGGAGUAGGAGUAGCAGUAGGAGUAGUAGUAGUAGUAGGAGUAGCAGUAGGAGUAGUAGUAGUAGUAGUAGUAGCAGUAGUAGUAGUACUAGUAGCAGUAACAACAGUAGAAGUAGUAAGCGCAGCAAGAGAAAUAAAAAAAAGAAUAAUUUUGUUUUUAAAAUUAAUAAUACAAACAAUAACUAUUUAUUUUUAUGUGGAGAAAUAAAUAUAAAAAAAGAAGGUAAGUAUGUUUUUUGUUUUACAAGUAGAAAAAAUAAAAAAUAUGAAUUUUUGAAUAUAAGUAUUCAAAUUAUUAAGGGAAAAAAAUUAGUGAAUAAUCAUGAACAUUUUAAUAAUUGUUUGUUUAUAAUUAUAAGUAACCACAAAUCACAUUUAAAAUUUAAAUACGAUAAAUAUUUAUAUAAUUUUAACCAACAAAAUAAUAACAAUAGUAUAACUGAUGGUAUUAAUGUUUGGAAUAAUAGUAACAAUAAUUUUAUUAUGGCACAGAAAGAAAAUAAGAGCGAACAGAAUAUUAUGAACAUAAAUAAAUAUAUAAAAGAAAAAAAAAAAAAAAAACCUAACAAAAUAUAUAUAUAUAAUAACAUGGGCAGUAAUAUUAUUGUUGAUAUUUUUCACCAUAAUGAGUUAAGGUAUUUGAUUAAUAAUGAUGCUAGUAGUGGCUAUGACGAUUCUAGCGCUAAACAAGAAAGUGGUAUAAAAAGUGUAGAAAACCAUGAUGGUAUGGUGAUAGAUGUGGUGUUAGAUAAAAAGGAGAUGAACGGUGGUAGUAGUGGUAGUAAUGGUAAUAGUAAUGGUAGUGGUAGUAGUAGUGGUAAUAGUAGUGGUAGUAGUAGUAGUAGUAGUAGUAGUAGUGGUAGUAACAAAAAAGAAUACACGACAAAUAAAUCAAAUAAACUAACGAAACAAUCAAAAAAAAAAAACAAUUAUCUAAUAUUAAAUAAUAAUUCUUUACAAUCUGUUUUGAAUAAUAAUCUAAAAAAAUUUCGUUUUUUAAAAAAAAAAAGUAUAAACUAUUUUCCUCUACGAAAAAAUAAAAAAUUAAAAAACUGCUUUUGUGUUGUAUAUCCAAAUAAGUUAAUAAAAAAAAGUUACAUUUUUCCGAUCAAUUUAGAAAAGAAAAGACUAAUAGUUAAAUUUGAGGAAAAGAAAAAAAUUAUUUUUAUAGAAAUUACUAUUAUUCAAAAAAAAAAAAAACUUUUUAUUCAAAUUUCGCAAUAUAUUGAUAGAGUUGUUUUGAUAAAAGGAAAGGUAAACAUGAAUAUGCUACAUGAGGAGCAAGUUGCACAUAGGAACUUGAAUACCAUUGGGAAUGUAAGCACGGACACUUUGACGGACGCAAUUACAGAUACAGAUACAGAUACAAAUACAGAUACAAAUACAGAUACAAAUACAGAUACAAAUACAGAUACAAAUACAGAUACAAAUACAGAUACAAAUACAGAUACAAAUACAGCUACAAAUACAGAUACAAAUACAGCUACACACACAAGCACGAAUGAAAAUGAUUAUCGAACUAGAGACGAUAACAACGUCUACAAAAAAACAUUUUUAAACAAAUAUUUCAAUUCAAAUAAUUUGUUAUUUAAAAAGUAUAAAACUAGUUUGUUUGUGAAAGUGAAAAGGAAAAAUAAAAUAAAACAUAUAACUAAUAAAAAGUAUUAUUUAAAAAAAUUAUUAACUGGUAAUGACUAUUUUUUUCGACACCAUUAUCAUAAAAACCAUGAUCAUAACUAUGAUGCUGCACAAGUUAGGCAUGACAAGACUCUAGUAAAAAAAGAAAACAAUAAUAAAAAAAAAAAAAAAAAAAAAAAAAAACUUAUUACUACUAAUAAAUCAAGGGCUUACUCUUGUAAUGAAUCACGCAUAAGUCGUAAUGCCACAUUUAUUAAGAACAAAAAAAAUGAUAAGUUUUUAUUAAAAUUUAAAAAUAAGACUAUUGCGAAUGGUGGUAAGAGCAAGUAUAGUAGUAAUAACAAUGUCCAUGUGAAUAAAACCGAAACGGAUAUUAGUAGAAACUAUUAUUUACAUAUAAACAAAGACAUGAACAUUCAUUUGAUUUCUUCUUUUUUGGUUACGCCUAACAAUAACAAUAAUUAUAAUAAUAACAAUAACAAUAACAAUAAUUAUAACAAUAACAAUAAUUAUAACAAUAACAAUAAUUAUAACAAUAACAAUAAUUAUAAUAAUAACAAUAAUUAUAACAAUAACAAUAAUUAUAAUAAUAACAAUAAUAAUAAUAGCAACUUGAGUGUGCAUAAAAAAAACAUUAAUUCGAAUGGUUUAUGUGAAAAAGAAGAUAUGAAUACAUUUUACAAGGUGACUAAGUGCAUUUUCCCAAAUUAUAAUUCAAAUGAUAGUAAUUAUAAAAUAAAAAAAAAAAAUGCACAUAUGUAUACAAUUAGUUUAAGGAGUCUAAAUUUAUUAAAAAGGGAUAAUUGUAUGAAUGUUGCAACAGACAGGGAUGACUUGUACGUGAGUAGUUUUUCUAAUCGUGUUGAUAUAGACAUUAUAAAAACAGACUGCAAAAUUAAUUUCCUUAUUUUUACACUAAACGAUUUAUGUAUUACAGAUUUUUCUGUUUAUCCAUACGCGCAAAUUAUGUAUAAGCAUAUAGAAUCACAUGAAAAAACAGGUUUUACCAACGCAACAUAUAAUGGACAUAAUUAUGAUAUUUUAUCUGAUCAUUAUGUUUAUGAAAAAAUAAAAAAUAAAAAAAAAGUAAACGAAGAAUGUAAUAAUAAUAAUAAUAAUAAUAAUAAUAAUAAGAUUAAUAGUACUAAUAGUGGACUUUUUAGUAGCAAGAACAUUAUAAAUGCUGAAUUUAUUUAUAGCACUAAUACAAAUACAUAUGGUGGAAAACGUUUUAUAAUAAAAAAAAUAAACUUAUUUUUUUUUUCACCUAUACAUGUCCAUUUAUCGCCAAACACAAUUGAAAAAUUUUAUUAUUAUUAUGAAAAAUGUUUUAAAAAAAGAGUGAAAGAAAUUAAUAGUAUAAAACGAAAAAAUACUAAUUUUAAAAAAGGAAACAUUAUUAUGUUUUCUUUUAACAACAACAGUAGUAUUAGUAGUAGUAGUAGUAGUAGUAGUAGUUUGGUUGAUAAAAAAAAGUGUCAUAAGUGUGGUAGUACAAACAGUAACACUCAUACAUUUUUCCAUCCUAAUAUAUUAAAAAAAAAGAAAAACAAACAAACCAAAAUAAGAGUUAAAUUUUUAAAAAUUUCAAAAAUCAAAAUAAGCAUAUCUUUUACAAAACAAAAUUAUUUAAGUAUAUAUAAAUAUAAAAAUAAACAAAAUAUCUUAUCAAUGUAUAAUAAAAAAAUAGAAAUGUUAUAUGAUUUAAAAAAUAUUGAUUUUGAUUUAAGUCUAUUACAUUUGAAUAAUAUAAAAAAGAAAAACGUUAACGCAUUUCUCAAAUAUGUUCUCAAUUUUUAUGUGAAAGAAAUACAUAAUAGUUUAUUUUUUCACUUAACUAGAUUAAAUUUAAUUAAUAAAUAUAUAAAUAAUUAUUAUAAUUUUUUUAACGUAUUAAUGGAUAACAAGUUGUUUAAUAUGGAUAUAUCAACAAACUUGUUUAAUAAUAUAAAACAGAAAAUUAAACAAGGUGCUGUAGGUGAUAUUGUUGAAAAAGAAUUAGCAUCUGUGCCUGGAUGGCCUACUAUUGAAACGGCUAAUGGAACUGUACUCGAAAAGGAUAUGUCUGUUGGUAAUGCAUUCUUUGACCAUGCCUCUUUCGUUAAAAACAGCGACAAAAACAGCGACAAAAACGGCGACAAAAACGGCGACAAAAACGGCGACAAAAACAGCGACAGCGAUAAUGUAGUGAAGAAAAAAUAUAAUAGCUUAAUUUAUGAAGAUUUAAAAAAAAAAAAAAAAAAAACGAAUGAUACUGUUUAUACCGUUUGGAACGACAUGAAUGUAUAUAGUGAUUCCAAUUUUUAUAACAAAACAAAAAAAAAAAAAAAAAUAGAAAACAUAAAUAAGCAUUUAUUUUUUAUUGAUAGUAAUAAUAAUAGUAGAGUGUAUGUUUUUAAUGAAACAUGUGAUGAUAAUAUUAUUACUACUAUCCCAGGUGUUACUGAUAAAGUAUAUAAAAAAGUUUCUAAUAAUAUUACUAGUGACAAAAAAGGAAUUGCCAAAAUAAUUGAAGGAGCACAUGAAAAACAAAUAGUGAAUGUUGGUGCAGAAAAUAAAAAGGUUGAAAAUUGGGCUAAUUUUGGUAUGUUUAACAGUGCAAUUAAAUCAAUAGGUAAAGAUAUAAUGACGAGUAUCAAUUAUUAUUUAUAUGAUAACGAUCAACAAUUAGUUAUUAACAAUGAUAACGAAUAUUUUAAAAAAAAAAAAUGGUGA